rnacentral:lncRNA from 1 species
CACAAUUUUAUAUUUUUACUCUGAAAGCUGGUUUGCAAGGAGGUGCAUAAAUAUUAUUUGCCAAAUUACUAGCAUUUUUUGCAAUGCAACUUAUGUUUUUAUAAUGACACCAGAUUAAGAAGAGUGAAAGAAUUGAGCUGCAAAUCCAAGCUUUGCACUCCCAAUCUUAUGUUGGAAUAAUAAAUUCAGUUCAGCCAUAAAUAGAAGAAAUAUGGAGAAAUGGAAAUUAGAAUGAUAGCACUGCUCCAUCACUCAUGGGAAGACCCUGCCCUUUCUCUUCAGUGAACAUGGAUGAAGUUCAGGCAGCAUCAGCAUGAACAAUGAGUGAAGCAGAGAUUCCCUGAGUUCAGUAGAAUUUUAUCUUAGACAAAUGUCUACACUUAUUUUGUGUUUUGUAUACUAUCUUUGCUGGGGUUGUUUCUCUACCCAUGCCAACCACAUCUUAUUUCCUCAUUAUUUUACAAAAGAUUCAAACUGAAAGAUGAUAAAUAAUGGCCACUAGAAAGAA